rnacentral:rRNA from 1 species
AUACGUAGGAGGCGAGCGUUGUCCGGAAUGAUUGGGCGUAAAGGGCGCGUAGGCGGCCUGUUAAGUCUGGAGUGAAAGUCCUGUUUUCAAGAUGGGAAUUGCUUUGGAUACUGAUGGGCUUGAGUGCAGGAGAGGUUAUCGGAAUUCCCGGUGUAGCGGUGAAAUGCGUAGAGAUCGGGAGGAACACCAGUGGCGAAGGCGGGUAACUGGACUGCAACUGACGCUGAGGCGCGAAAGUGUGGGGAGCAAACAGGAUUAGAUACCCUGGUAGUCCACACUGUAAACGAUGAAUGCUAGGUGUAAGAGGUAUCGACCCCUUUUGUGCCGGAGUUAACACAAUAAGCAUUCCGCCUGGGGAGUACGGCCGCAAGGUUGAAACUCAAAUGAAUUGACGGGG